GACGAACGCUGGCGGCGUGCUUAACACAUGCAAGUCGAACGGAAAGGCCCUGCUUUUGUGUGGUGCUCGAGUGGCGCACGUGUGUGUAACACGUGAGUAACCUGCCCUUUACUUUGGGAUAACUUCAGGAAACUGCGGCUAAUACCUGAUAGGAGCUCCUGCUGCAUGGUGGUGGUUGGAAAGUUUCGGCGGUUGUGGAUGGACGGGCGGCUUAUCAGCUUGUUGGUUGGGGAGUGGCUUACCAAGGCUUUGACGGGUAGCCGGCCUGGGAGGGUGGACGGGGACAAUGGGACUGAGAGACGGACCAGACUCGUACGGGAGGCAGCAGGGGGGAAUAUUGCACAAUGGGCGGAAGCCUGAUGAAGAAACGCCGCGUGCGGGAUGAAGGCCUUCGGGUUGUAAACCGCUGUAGCCUGUGACGAAGCGUGAGUGACGGUAAUAGGUAAAGAAGCACCGGCUAACUACGUG
rnacentral:rRNA from 1 species